rnacentral:lncRNA from 1 species
GUAAAUUUAUAUCUUAACUGAAAACGUUUAAGAACCGUGGCUACAGAACAAAAUACGUACUUUAAUGCUUAUAUGUAUUCAUACUUAACAUUUAUUAGAUUAAACGUGAGAAAAAAAAGCGUUGUAAAUAGUUGUAAAUAAGAGUGAUUUGAUUAUAGGCUUACUUUGCUAGUGUUUUAAUGUAUUUUCUUUAUUUUUGUAACUAAUUUUAACCUCUAUAGUUGAGCUUUCUCGCAAAGAGAAUAUACGAUAACAUACAUGCCACAUAACAAUAUGAUUUAUUCACAGAGGAAGAUAAUGUUUUUACAUGCACUGUUUAAUCACGUUGAAUGAUCACAGAUAAUAAACGAGUUUUUAACAAUUACUAACAGUUAUUUGCAAUUAUUUGUGACCCUGGACCACAAACCCAGUCAUAAAGGUUUUAAUUUUUUAUUUUAUUAUUGAGAUUUAUAUAGCACCUGAAAGAUGAAUAAUUACGCUUCAAUUGAUUGAUGUGUGGUUUGUUAGGAUUGGACAGUAUUUGGCUGAGAUACAACUAUUUGAAAAUCUGAGGGCGCCAAAAAAAAAAUUUAAAUGUUGGGAAAAUCGCCUUUAAAGUUGUUCUUAGCAAAGCAUACUACUAAUCAAAAAUUUACAAAAUAUCUUCAUGGAACAGGUCACAUUGUCUUUUCCAUUUCUCUUGUGCAUCAUGUCCUUACUUUUAAGCUUUGGAUUACUUUGAAGACUCUUGUUUGCACAUGAUCAAGUUGGUCAAAGCAGGUAUUUGUCUCAUGGUAAUGUUUUAUAAAUUUUGUCUUUUCACAGCUUGCAUGGUGGUUGGUGUGCUCGUUGCAGCUUCACACACAUCUUCUCUGGUUUUCUGCAGAUGCAUGGACUGAAAAGAAUAGAAGGAUGGUUUGUUUCUGUGCAAGGAGCUGGUGCGGUACAUGCCUCUCUUUGGCCAUGAGGUCAUUCCUCCAUCUUUGGUGCAGCGCUAUGACUGUGGAAUUGACCUCUGGCUCGUUUCAGAAUGAUCUCCUCACGUCUGUGCUUCUCAACGUCCAUGUUCCUGCCCAAAGAAUUGCUAUGUUUCUUUAUUGUUCUGGGGGCUUUUUGGUGCAUAUAGUGGACUUUGCAGGGCCACAGCAUGCAGUGGACUGGGAUAGCGAUACACUUCCAUGCCCUGGUGACCUGGAAGAUCAGAACGGUAGGUGGGUUGCAAAACAACUUUGGAUUGAAGUAUGUCGUAAACAUCUGGCCAGUGCGAGUCUGGAAACAGAUCCGCCACAGAUUGGAAAACAUCUUUAG